rnacentral:misc_RNA from 1 species
AAGUCGUAACAAGGUAACCGUAGGUGAACCUGCGGUUGGAUCAUUACCAAUCUUUUGCGUUUCCCUUAGAAAUAAGGGUUUCAAAACGUACCAUUGUGCACAGUUUCACGUCGUUUCAGCGGUACAGAGGUACGAUCGUGUGUACUUACAUACAUACGGAACGUGCUUCUUAAGCCUGGGAAACAACAUAGUUGUUCCGCCGCCGCUGGGCAGAGCUGCUUUUAUUAGUGGUUCUGGAUUGACCAACCUUUUGAAUUAUCAUUUUGUCUAAUAUAUUUUAUAUUAAAUUUGAAACAACUUUUGACAACGGAUCUCUUGGCUCUC